rnacentral:rRNA from 1 species
UACGUAGGGGGCAAGCGUUGUCCGGAAUCAUUGGGCGUAAAGCGCGUGUAGGCGGCUCGAUAAGUCCGUUCUGAAAGUCCAGGGCUCAACCCUGGGAUGCGGAUGGAUACUGUCGAGCUCGAGUCCGGAAGAGGCGAGUGGAAUUCCUGGUGUAGCGGUGAAAUGCGCAGAUAUCAGGAGGAACACCAAUGGCGAAGGCAGCUCGCUGGGGUGUUCUGACGCUGAGACACGAAAGCCAGGGAGCGAACGGG